rnacentral:rRNA from 1 species
AUUGAACGCUGGCGGCAUGCCUUACACAUGCAAGUCGAACGGCAGCACGGGUGCUUGCACCUGGUGGCGAGUGGCGAACGGGUGAGUAAUACAUCGGAACAUGUCCUGUAGUGGGGGAUAGCCCGGCGAAAGCCGGAUUAAUACCGCAUACGAUCUACGGAUGAAAGCGGGGGACCUUCGGGCCUCGCGCUAUAGGGUUGGCCGAUGGCUGAUUAGCUAGUUGGUGGGGUAAAGGCCUACCAAGGCGACGAUCAGUAGCUGGUCUGAGAGGACGACCAGCCACACUGGGACUGAGACACGGCCCAGACUCCUACGGGAGGCAGCAGUGGGGAAUUUUGGACAAUGGGCGAAAGCCUGAUCCAGCAAUGCCGCGUGUGUGAAGAAGGCCUUCGGGUUGGAAAGCACUUUUGUCCGGAAAGAAAUGCUUGGCCCUAAUACGGUCGGGGGAUGACGGUACCGGAAGAAUAAGCACCGGCUAACUACGUG